rnacentral:rRNA from 1 species
UGGGGAAUAUUGGACAAUGGGCGAAAGCCUGAUCCAGCCAUGCCGCGUGUGUGAAGAAGGUCUUCGGAUUGUAAAGCACUUUAAGUUGGGAGGAAGGGCAGUAAGCGAAUACCUUGCUGUUUUGACGUUACCGACAGAAUAAGCACCGGCUAACUCUGUGCCAGCAGCCGCGGUAAUACAGAGGGUGCAAGCGUUAAUCGGAAUUACUGGGGGUAAAGCGCGCGUAGGUGGUUCGUUAAGUUGAAUGUGAAAGCCCCGGGGUCAACCUGGGAAAAUCAGCCAAAACUGGCGAGCUUGAAUAGGGCAGAGGGGGGUGGAAUUUCUUGUGGAGCGGUGGAAAGCGUAGGUAUAGGAAGGAACACCAGUGGCGAAGGCGACCACCUGGGCUCAUACUGACCCUGAGGUGCGAAAGGGUGGGGAGCAAACAGG